rnacentral:rRNA from 1 species
AGAGUGCGUAAUAGCUCACUAGUCGAGUGAUCCUGCGCCGAAAAUGUACCGGGGCUAAGCAUACUACCGAAACCAUGGAUGCGACCAUUAGGUCGCGUGAUAGGAGAGCGUUCUAAGGGCGGUGAAGCAAGAUCGUGAGGACUUGUGGAGCGCUUAGAAGUGAGAAUGCCGGUAUGAGUAGCGAAAGAUAGGUGAGAAUCCUAUCCACCGAAUGACU